GGCGGCACUAUCGUUUCGCUAGAGGAGUUCAUUACACAUUUCCCGCAUUCCUUUGAUCACUCUCCCGACGGAUGGGAGAUGGGAAAGGAACUCAUGAGAAUAACGCCGGGCACACGUGAUGCUGUGGAGUAUGCUCUCGAGUUUCGUACCAUCGCGGCAAGGAGUGGAUGGAGCAAACCGGCCCUCAAGACAGCGUUUUGUCAGGGACUGAACCCAGAGCUGGUGAAGGAGUUAACCUGUCGGGAUGAACAACUCUCCCUCAACUUCACGAUUCAUCUGGACCGAUUGCGCCAGACCAACCGCCCGGCGCUGCGUGAGCCCCAUGUCCCCGUGCCCCCAUGCCAGGAACAGCUGUGGAACCCAUGCAGCUUCACGAGGAGGAGAGGGAGAGGCGUCGCCGAGAGUUCCGCUGCUUUUACUGCAGAGAGGACAACCACCUCGUCCAUCAGUGCUCUCUCAAGACGCCUCUCAAGAGUGGGAACAACAGAGCUCGGCACCAAUGCACUGAUUGACUAAGGAGCAGCCGGUAACUUCAUCGAUCAGAGAACAGUGCACGACCUAAACCUUCCCGUUCGUCCCCUACUCCAGCCACGUCACAUCCAGUCCAUCGAUGGGUCCCCCGUAGGAGGAGGGAUCAUCUCUCACUCUACAGCACUUCUUGUACUCCAGGUCAGUGCCCUCCAUAGUGAAACCAUAGUCCUUUACGUCACUGUCUCAGCCCGGCACCCCGUCAUUUUAGGCCUCCCAUGGUUGGAGCUCCACAAUCCCCAGGUUUCUUGGGCGGACAAACAGGUCAUCCAGUGGUCUCCGUACUGCCACAAUAACUGCCUGCAAUCCCCAGUUAUCCCAGUGGCAGCCACGACAGUGGAGAGUCCCACUCCACCCAUUCCAGUCCGAGUUCCUCCCGAAUAUCAUGACCUCAUGGAAGUAUUCAGCAAGGAGAGGGAGAGCAGAUUACCACCACACCUAUGAUUGCACAUUUGAGCUCCUACCAGGAACCAGCCCACCGCGAGGUCGAGUGUACCUGCUCUCUCAAGCCGAACAUCAGGCCAUGGAGGAGUAUAUUCAUGAGGCGCUCCAACGGGGAUAUAUCAGACCUUCCACGUCUCCCGCCUCAGCAGGUUUCUUUUUGUGGAGAAGACGGUAGGCAGCCUUAGACCAUGCAUAGACUACCAGGACCUGAACCAAGUUUCUGUUAAGUAGAGUUAUCCCUUGCCACUGGUACCCGCAGCCCUCGAACAACUAAGGUCAGCGAUCAUCUUCACCAAGCUGGACCUACGUAGUGCCUUAAACUUGGUCUGCAUCCGGGAGGGGGACGAGUGGAAAACGGUCUUCAGUACCACCUCAGGUCACUAUGAAUAUCUGGUCAUGCCUUAUGGGCUCUCUAACACCCCCUCAGUGUUCCAACGUCUCAUUAAUGACGUUCUAAGAGACAUGCUGGGGAGGAGCGUCAACACGUACAUAUACUUUGCAUCCCUAGAGGAGCAUGUCGGCCAUGUCUGGCAGGUUUUGCACCGUCUCCUGCAGCAUAAGCUUUACGUAAAGGCCGGAGUUCCAUCGACACAUGAUCUCCUUCUUGGGAUAUGUCAUCAGCCCGAAGGGGGUCACCGUGGACCUAAGUAAGGUUCAGGCAGUGGCGGAGUGGCUCAUGCCACGAACUGUCAAGGAGUUUCAGUGGUUCUUGGUGGGGGCCAUCCUAUCACAGAGAUUAGGAGACAAACCAAAACUUCACCCCGUGGCUUUCUUUUCCCGUAAACCAUCCCCAGCGGAACGCAACUAUGACGUGGAGAACAGAGAACUCUUUGCGGUCAAAUUCACCCUGGAAGAAUGGAGGUAUUGACUGGAGGGCGCCACACACCCGUUUGUUAUUUUCACUGAUCAUAAAAACCUGGA
ensembl:lncRNA